rnacentral:rRNA from 1 species
UACGUAGGGACCAAGCGUUGUUCGGAUUUACUGGGCGUAAAGGGCGCGUAGGCGGCGCGGUAAGUCACUUGUGAAAUCUCUGAGCUUAACUCAGAACGGCCAAGUGAUACUGCAGUGCUAGAGUGUGGAAGGGGCAAUCGGAAUUCUUGGUGUAGCGGUGAAAUGCGUAGAUAUCAAGAGGAACACCUGAGGUGAAGACGGGUUGCUGGGCCAACACUGACGCUGAGACGCGAAAGCCAGGGGAGCAAACGGG